rnacentral:rRNA from 1 species
UAAUACGGAAGGUGCAAGCGUUAAUCGGAAUUACUGGGCGUAAAGCGCGCGUAGGUGGUUUGUUAAGUUGGAUGUGAAAGCCCUGGGCUCAACCUAGGAACUGCAUCCAAAACUAACUCACUAGAGUACGAUAGAGGGAGGUAGAAUUCAUAGUGUAGCGGUGGAAUGCGUAGAGAUCUGGAGGAAUACCGAUGGCGAAGGCGGCCUCCUGGAUCUGUACUGACACUGAGGUGCGAAAGCGUGGGUAGCGAACAGGAUUAGAUACCCUGGUAGUCCACGCCGUAAACGAUGACAACUAGCUGUUGGAAGACAACGUCUUUCAGUGGCGCAGCUAACGUUUUAAGUUGUCCGCCUGGGGAGUACGGCCGCAAGGCUAAAACUCAAAUGAAUUGACGGGGACCCGCACAAGCGGUGGAGCAUGUGGUUUAAUUCGAUGCAACGCGAAAAACCUUACCUACUCUUGACAUACUUGGAAGCUCUUGUAAUGAGAGUGUGCCUUUUGGAACCAAGAUACAGGUGCUGCGUGGCUGUCGUCAGCUCGUGUCGUGAGAUGUUCCGUUAAGUCGGAUAACGAGCGCAACCCUUGCCCUUAUUUGCCAGCGAUUCGGUCGGGAACUAUAAGGGGACUGCCGGUGAUAAACCGGAGGAAGGUGAGGACGACGUCAAGUCAUCAUGGCCCUUACGAGUAGGGCUACACACGUGCUACAAUGGGGAAUACAGACGGACGCUAAGCCGCGAGGUGGUGCUAAUCCUAGAAAGUUUCUCGUAGUCCGGAUUGGAGUCUGCAACUCGACUCCAUGAAGUCGGAAUCGCUAGUAAUCGCGGAUCAGCAUGCCGCGGUGAAUACGUUCUCGGGUCUUGUACACACCGCCCGUCACACCAUGGAAGUGGAUUGCACCAGAAGUAGAUAGUCUAACCUUCGGGAGGGCGUUUACCACGGUGUGCUUCAUGACUGGGGUGAAGUCGUAACAAGGUAGCCG